GUCCUCCCUCCAUCAACAAAAUGCUAUUUUUUAAUUGUAAAAAGUUACUAGCCAUCUGUAUAUAACUAAAUCCCACGAAAUUUAUCUUUCUCCGGUGAUAAACCUGACCACCAGUCUGUAGGGAAGGAUCUUACUCCCGCCGGAAUAUUUCUAUCUCACGUUUGAUAAAAUAAUUUGCACUUGAUUUUGGCUUUCCACCGGAACCGGAAACCAAAAUCCUGCAUAAUCCUUAUUCCCUGAAAUUUUUCCUCCGAGGAGUUGUAUAAAGAGGUCUCCGACGAGACUGACAACAUUAGAAUCUCGACAACACUUGUAUACGCAAGAGAAAGAUUAUUUUUUACGAUGAAGCUCGCUGUCUUGAUCUUCACGAUUCUUUCGAUCGCUGUCCUGGUCACGUUAUCAUCAGCGGCAGAGGAACCAAACGUCAUUGUAGUGGGAAAUCCUGAGGAUCUCGGAGGAUCAGAAGGACUCGUGAGAGGCCAACGUGGCAUCAGGGACUUUUUCGGUAAAAUAUUCAGCUUCUUCGGCUGAACCCAAUGAAGAUUGAACCCAAUCAAUUAAAUCCAAUAACUACUACACUGCGAAAAACCAAAACUAUGUGACUUACUCUGAUUUCGAUAAUGUUCAAUAAAUUGAAAAAAAAAAUCUGA